CAAUAGCGUAUAUUAAAGUUGUUGCGGUUAAAAAGCUCGUAGUUGGAUUUCUGCCUAGUGCGACCGAUCCGCCUUCGGGUAGGUGUCAGGCUCGCACUUGGCAUACUUCUGGGGGGUGAAGUUGUACCUUGUUGUGCGGCUUCCUACCUGGAUCAUUUACUUUGAGGAAAUUAGAGUGUUUCAAGCAGGCAAAAGCCUUGAAUACAUUAGCAUGGAAUAAUAUUAUAGGACUUUGGUUCUGUUUUGUUGGUUUCUGGAGCCGAGGUAAUGAUUAAUAGAGACAGUCGGGGGCAUUCGUACUUAACUGUCAGAGGUGAAAUUCUUGGAUUUGUUAAAGACGAACUAAUGCGAAANCANNNGCCAAGGAUGUUUUCAUNGA
rnacentral:rRNA from 1 species